GGUCGUCCCCAUGGCAGUUGGUAGGCAUUUACUGUGUUGGACCUCUCUCUCUCUCUCUAACACUAUAAGGAAAAGGACUUCGAUCUGUGAAGAUUGCCAUAGCAGCAAAGAUUUUCCUCUCAAUAGAAUCCCUUAUUGUUCAUUAGAACGGUGGAAAUCGGCUGCAUUUCGUGUAUUUGUGGCUGAAUCCAUCUUUGGGUUUUCAAAAUUGAGGAUUGCGAAUAGGGGUUCGGAAGAGUAGAAACAGUGGCAGAUUUGAGGUUUCUACAAUUACUCCAGAGCUUAAAGACUUUAUUUUCUCUUCCGAGUUCAGUUCUGGACUGUGGAUUUCACGGAAUCAGAAUCGAAUAGAGGCAGUUAAUUAGUUCGG